rnacentral:lncRNA from 1 species
CUCAUUUCUCCCUCACUGUGCGUCUGCGGCACGCUCAUCUCUGCUCACACUGUAGGGAGGCAGAGUGUACCUGUGCACAUCCCACCACCCGGCACACGAUGGGGCUGGAAACUGAAGACGCAAGGAAGUAAAGCGGCUUUCCUGCUCCCCAGGAGGGAGAACUGCUGAGAAGGAAGCGCUGUGGUGGCCUCCCCAGAAGGACAGAACCAUCCGGCAGAUGGCGCUGACGAGGCAGAGCCUGCUUCCGGACCCCUCACCCCUGGGCAGACUGGAAAACAGAGAGGCCGUUAACGGUUCUCACAAACCAGGUGCUGUCACCUGUGAUCACUCUUCUCAGCUAAGUCACCUGGGACCUCCCCGUCGUCCCCUGCGGGUCCUGUCUCACCUGCUCUCUCUGGCGAGAACCACGCCAUCUGUGCUGAUGCUUCUCUUGCAUCUUCCCUUUCUUGCUUAG